rnacentral:tRNA from 1 species
AGGAUUUAGCUCAGUGGUAGAGCACUUGCCUAGCAAGCGCAAGGCCCUGGGUUCGAUCCCCAGCUCCUA